rnacentral:rRNA from 1 species
UACGUAGGGGGGCUAGCGUUGUCCGGAAUCAUUGGGCGUAAAGAGCGCGUAGGCGGCCAGAUAAGUCCGGUGUGAAAGUCACAGGCUCAACCUGUGAAUGCCGCUGGAAACUGUCUGGCUUGAGUCCGGGAGGGGCGAGUGGAAUUCCUGGUGUAGCGGUGAAAUGCGCAGAUAUCGGGAGGAACACCAAUUGCGAAGGCAGCUCGCUGGGACGUCACUGACGCUGAGACGCGAAAGCGUGGGGAGCGAACAGG